UGUCUCAGUGGUAAAGAGUCUGCCUGCCAAGCAGGUAACUGGGGUUCAAUCCCUG
rnacentral:tRNA from 1 species